UCCCAUUUUAUCCUUAUCAUCCCAUGAAUCGUUCUCUUUCAAUCUAGCUUUAUGAUUGAAUCUCUACAGCCACAAACGAAUUCAGUUCUUUCGUAUUUCCUCCAUCAAUUGUUACUGGUCAUUCAUACCUGAUUCAAUACACCAAUUUAAUUCCGAGAUACAUUUCAUACCGGCAAUUAUUUAACAUCGAAUCCAUCAUGGAACUGGGUACUCAUUUGCAGAAGACAAUGGAGAAGGGGAAACCAAGCACGGCCUCCGGCCGGCCACCUGAAACUCGCAAUAACAAGGACAGAUACGUUUUUGCAGUUUGAUGCUCUAAUUGGUACUGUGAUUUCAAUUAUUCGCCUCAAUCCACAAAACUUUCUUUUGAAUUCGCUUGCUUUCCUCUGUUUCGGUUGAUUAAUCGAACACCCGUUUCGAUUUCACAGUGUUUGUUUUUGAAUUUUCAGUUUAGCCGAUUAGGGUUUUGGCAUGAUACUCAAGAGGAAGUUGAAAUAGACAAUUCUAAUUUAAUCAAGUGCAGUUUUUCCGACUAUGGUUCAAAGCAACAUUUGCACCUUUUCGAUAUAUAUGUGUUAUUGCUUAUUCUGUUUCUAAAUCUCUGAAAGAUAAGUCCAUUAAGCCUUCAAUUUAUGUUUUUUAUUCCUCCAGCAAAUUUCAAGGUUAAAUUGAGCAAAUUCAAGGUUAAGAUAGGGUUCCUCUCACUCUAUGAAUCCGCCGGUGAUGGUAGAAAUGGGUUUUGGCCUUUCAGCUAAAGAACCGAUGUUUGUGCAAGAUUCUGAAUUUUCAGGUUUUGAGUUUGUAUGAUUCGCAAAAAAAAACCAUACAAAUUCAAGUUUAUUGAUGGGUGAUGAUGGGUUUAACCAAACAUAAGCGACCAUUUACGUAACCCUAAAGCACAUCCCACUUGAAUCUGUACAGAGCGAUCUAUCUUCCGUCUAAUCAAGUUGUUGCGUGUUUGGAUCUUGAACGCAUAAACAGUAAUCUGGUAAUUCUAUUGCUAAUUAGCUACUUAUCUGUUGAUGUUCUACUUUUAUUUUAUUAUUUAUGUAAGGUUGGUUAGUCAAUGAUUCAAUUCAGGCUAUUUAGCUAAACAAUUAAUAACUGAAAAUUAGGGCCUUUUUGCUACUUUUUAAUUGAAUUUAUGUUUGAUUUAGGUUUCUGUUAGUGAUCGUAUGCACAGAUAAUUAUUGACUUUUUAGUUUUUACUAAUCCCACAUCAUGAUAUGUUUUUGUGUGACAUUAGUUGUGAAGCUGGAUGAAAUUGUGUUUAAAGUUGUUAAAUUUAUGAAUUGUCAUAGAUCUUGAUGUUGAAAGUUGGGGCCAUUUGGUAUAUAUCGUUUUUUAUAAAGACUUUGAUCCAUUUAAGUUUAUUCAUGGUCCAGGAAAUAAGUCAGGAUGGGUUAUAUGGUUAUCGGGUCGGUGUAAACCGGGUUAAUUAAAUGGUUGGAAAGAGCUACAAUUUGGUGGUCUUUAAUGGGCUGCAAAAGUGAUUAAACAAUGGUUGCGAUUAGUGGGCUGUAUAGGGCUAAAAUAAUGGAUGGACUCAAGGUUUAAAAAAACGGAAACGAGUUUCGAGGCGUUUUCCCUUCGCCUCACGAGGCGUAAGCCUGCUGAGGCGUAACCCCGAGACGGAGUUAAUAAAUAAUUGUAACUAAAUUCAUCAUCAAAUUCAUCAAAAUUAAUCAAAAACACACAUAAAAAAGACACAAAUUGCUUGAAAUUAACACAAAAACUCAAAAACAUCAAAAACAAAUAUCAAAAACCCCUGAGGCGCAGCCUUUUUAGCGCCUCAGCUGCGCCUCAGCCCCUCUGAGGCGCACAUACAGUAUAAACCCCCUGAGGCGCGCCUCAGAAUCGUCUUUUGGCCGUUUCGCCUUGAGGCGCACGCCUCAACCGUUUUUUAAAACCAUGGAUGGAAUUAUGGAAAAUAACUUACAUGGCUGCAUAUUUGGUUAGUGGACUGCAUAUUUACUGCCAUUUGGUCUGCAUAUAUACAUGGCUACCAAAACAAUUUACAUUUCUUGGGUUUGAGAUGUUAUCUAUCAAUACAUCUGUGCUCUACAAUUUUUGACACCAUUAUUUGAAUUUAUACCUCAGGUAUGUUAUUUAAUAAUGACAUCAUUGUUAUAUUUUUUUAAUAGUCCUUAAAUCCUAACGACAUGUUUACAAUUUAAGAACCUCUUGUGGUUUUUUUUCACUUUUGCAGUGCGCUCUUGCUGCUAUUGUCAUCUUUGUUGUCACCCAGCAAGCCUGAGUCUGGGGUAAAUCCCACCUCCGAGGUGAUCCCACCUCGCAGACCGCCACCCAGCAAGCCUGAAUCUGGGGGUAAAUCCGCUACCGUAGGGGCAUUGGGAACGAGCAAGACUCGAACCCGCCACCUCCGGGUUAGAAUGCGGGCUGGUGGCCAUUGGGCUGACACCUAAUGGUAUCCUUGUUGGGGUGAGCUACAGUUUCUGUAUUGCAUACUUCUUGUUGUGAUGGUUAUAAAGAAAAGCUAAAUUAGCGUUUUUUGUGGGUCCGCCCAACCGGCCGUGCCACAUUCUAAAGACGGCUUGGUUGUGAAAUCUUGAAGAAGAUGUUUCUUUAUUAAUUUGAUUAUAGUUUAUAGCGAUGACGGAGUUAUAGCAUCCUUUAAUGUCCUAAACGGGGCGGUGAUUCCUUUUGGUCCGUGGAACCUGACGUGCAAUGUGCGGCAUAAAAACAUAAAUAUACGCGGCAACGCGCGGGCAUUCCCUUAUUUCAACUGUAAAAACUGGUUAGUUUUAAGUGAUGCAACAUCUCAAAGUGUUAGAAUGGUAGAUCUCUAUGUAAAAAGUAAAAACUAAUUCGUUAGUCCUGAGGUUAAGAUUUGAUCCUAGAAAGGCAAUUACAAAGUCUGGUAAGACUAUCAUCUGAUCAUUAUUUACCGUCUUUUGUUAUAUCAUCAGGUUAUAUCUUCAUUAACGGUGUCUUUGAGGUUUGAUGGGGCUUUGAAUGUGGAUGUAACUGAAUACCUGUUUUGAAAUGUAGGAUUAAUCAUCAGCCUCCAACAGUGGUUCCUGGUGGUGAUCUUCCAAAGGUGCAGAGAGUUGUUUAUGAUUUCUAACUCUACAAGUGUGGCUGAGGUUCUCUCACAUUGACCAUAAGUUCAACUUUCUACAAUUUCACUGUAGUUUGUGUUUACCAGGCAUGUCAUUGGCAUCACUGCUGAUGAUGAGUCCCUAGAAAUUGCAUGGUAAUUUAUUGCAUUUAUAUCGUUUAGCAUUCAAGAUUCUUGUAGUUGUAUAAUUGAUAUACACGAUGGAUUUUUAUAUUCAUGUAUAUAGAACUUAGUAUGUUAUC